AAUGAACGCUGGCGGCGUGCUUAACACAUGCAAGUCGAACGAGAAAGUCCUUCGGGAUGAGUACAGUGGCAGACGGGUGAGUAACGCGUGGAUAUCUGCCUUUUAGUGGAGAAUAAACCUGGGAAACUGGGGGUAAUACUGCAUAAGUCCCUACGGGGAGAAAGAUGGCCUCUUGCUAUCGCUGAAAGAUGAGUUUGCGUACUAUUAGCUAGUUGGUGGGGUAAAGGCCUACCAAGGCGAUGAUGGUUAGCCGGCCUGAGAGGGUGAUCGGCCACAUUGGGACUGAGACACGGCCCUGACUCCUACGGGAGGCAGCAGUGGGGAAUUUUGCGCAAUGGACGAAAGUCUGACGCAGCAACGCCGCGUGGAGGAUGAAGGUCUUAGGAUUGUAAACUUCUGUUAAUUGGAAAGAAAGAGACAAGGUUAAUACCCUUGUAAGAUGACGUUACCGGUUGAGAAAGCCCCGGCUAACUUCGUGCCAGCAGCCGCCGUAAAAC
rnacentral:rRNA from 1 species